UGCCUCUGUGGAUGAAAGCUACUUCAGGAAUAUAAACUCAGCAGAGAACCAAUUUUGGAGCAAGAUUAGACUUGUGCAGUCUGUCACAGAUUUAUAUGCUUUCAGUCAGAAUUUAGGUGACCUGAAUGCCAGUCACAAAAUACGAAUAUCAGGCAAAGUACGACAAACCGAACACAGCAUAAGAGAGAUCAUUCACUCAGUAUUUAUCAGAUGA
rnacentral:lncRNA from 1 species